rnacentral:lncRNA from 1 species
UGCUGGGGGGAAAUGUUAAGUUCAUUCAAUCAUUUGUCUUCAAAAUAACUGCAGGUGUUUGAACUCAGCUCUUGAGGGUUUUUUCUUCCCUCUAGCUGGUGUGUGAAUAUAGAUAAAGCUUUAAGGAAAGAGAAAAAAAUAAAAAAGAAACUAUACAGCUUUUUCACCCAACAACACAUUGCCAGGAAAUGCUGGCUCGGUGAGUGGUGCCUCUAAGCAGAGCUUGCAUACCAAGACAGCUUCCUCCACACCAAACACGCUACCCGCGGAUCCCCGCUUUUCAAACACAGGCAUCCACAUGGAACUU